GAUAACAUCACAAACAAACAGGCGGCGAUAAUGCUAAAUCAAACAUGGAGGCUUCUAUGAAAUCAAAUCGGAACACAACCAUGGUUCUCUCAGAAGGAUGCAAAGCAGAAUCGAAACAUAGAAAUAAAGCUCGGAAAGGAAGCUAACCGGUUGCGGCGAGCUCGACCGGCGAAUGUAGGUAAGCGUUUCGCCUGAACUUUUCCCCCUAACGUUUCCUUUCUUCUUGUUCGUCUCUUCUGAGCUCCCGUUUGUCCUACGCUUUUUGUUUUUUGGCAGAAACCUUCCUUCCUUCGUAGUGAACAAUAGCGGCUCUUUUUGUUUUUUCAGAAUUCGCCCUUCCUGAUGGGUGAACAAUGGCGGCUCUCCAAACUUAGGGUUUUUCCGUUCUUCCUCUUUAUGAACACUGGCCUCUCUUAUAUAUGACUCAUCUCCUCUCUGCUGUGUUGCUGUGUUUUCUCAGAGUAGUGGGAAGUGUCUGUACGGAAGACGUUUGGAACUUUGUCCUUAUUCCAGCUUGUGGUCCCUCUCCUCACGUUAACCUUUGUGUUAGUAACAAUUGCAUUUACCACUGUGAGUUUUUGAAAAUGUUUUAAUUACAAAUUAACUAACUGUGUGCUAAACCAAUGUCGCAGGGCCUGUUCGGGCACGAUAUCGUUAACUUGGCUUCACUACGGUAACCUUUGACAUAAUGCUUUCUGCAUCAGCAAUGGGAUUUGCAGAGCUCAACCUCAACUUCUGAGCUAC
rnacentral:lncRNA from 1 species